rnacentral:snRNA from 18 species
AUCUUUGUGCUCGGGCACGCGAUGGCGACGUUGAAGGAAACUGAGUCCCAUCUAAUUGCUGGUUGCAAACUAAAUUCCACACUCUUCACUGCACUCUUCGGAGUCUUUGGGAAUUUCUGCCCGCCUAACGGCG